rnacentral:rRNA from 1 species
GAUGAACGCUGGCGGCGUGCCUAACACAUGCAAGUCGAACGGAGUCCAGCCUUUAAGACCUUCGGGUCAAAGAGGGGAAGACUGAGUGGCGGACGGGUGAGUAACACGUGGGCAACCUGGCUCAUAGAGGGGGAUAACAGAGAGAAAUUUCUGCUAAUACCGCAUAAGCACACACUGCCGCGUGGCAGAGGGUGAAAAGAGAAUCGCUAUGAGAUGGACCCGCGUCUGAUUAGCCAGUUGGCAGGGUAAGAGCCUACCAAAGCGACGAUCAGUAGCCGAUCUGAGAGGAUGAACGGCCACAUUGGGACUGAGACACGGCCCAAACUCCUACGGGAGGCAGCAGUGGGGGAUAUUGCACAAUGGGGGGAACCCUGAUGCAGCGACGCCGCGUGAGUGAAGAAGUAUUUCGGUAUGUAAAGCUCUAUCAGCAGGGAAGAUAAUGACAGUACCUGAAUAAGAAGCCCCGGCUAACUACGUG